GAUGAACGCUGGCGGCGUGCCUAAUACAUGCAAGUCGAGCGAACAGACGAGGAGCUUGCUCCUCUGACGUUAGCGGCGGACGGGUGAGUAACACGUGGAUAACCUACCUAUAAGACUGGGAUAACUUCGGGAAACCGGAGCUAAUACCGGAUAAUAUAUUGAACCGCAUGGUUCAAUAGUGAAAGACGGUUUUGCUGUCACUUAUAGAUGGAUCCGCGCCGCAUUAGCUAGUUGGUAAGGUAACGGCUUACCAAGGCAACGAUGCGUAGCCGACCUGAGAGGGUGAUCGGCCACACUGGAACUGAGACACGGUCCAGACUCCUACGGGAGGCAGCAGUAGGGAAUCUUCCGCAAUGGGCGAAAGCCUGACGGAGCAACGCCGCGUGAGUGAUGAAGGUCUUCGGAUCGUAAAACUCUGUUAUUAGGGAAGAACAAAUGUGUAAGUAACUAUGCACUUCUUGACGGUACCUAGUCAGAAAGCCACGGCUAACUACGUG
rnacentral:rRNA from 1 species